UACGUAGGGUGCAAGCGUUAAUCGGAAUUACUGGGCGUAAAGCGUGCGCAGGCGGUUAUGCAAGACAGAUGUGAAAUCCCCGGGCUUAACCUGGGAACUGCAUUUGUGACUGCACGGCUAGAGUGUGUCAGAGGGGGGUAGAAUUCCACGUGUAGCAGUGAAAUGCGUAGAUAUGUGGAGGAAUACCGAUGGCGAAGGCAGCCCCCUGGGAUAACACUGACGCUCACGCACGAAAGCGUGGGGAGCAAACAGG
rnacentral:rRNA from 1 species